GUGCCAGCCGUCGCGGUAAUACCGGCAGCCCGAGUGAUGGCCGAUCUUAUUGGGCCUAAAGCGUCCGUAGCUGGCCGCGCAAGUCCGUCGGGAAAUCCACCCGCCCAACGAGUGGGCGUCCGACGGAAACUGCACAGCUUGGGACCGGAAGGCUCGGAGAGUACGUUCGGGGUAGGAGUGAAAUCCCAUAAUCCCGGACGGACCACCGAUGGCGAAAGCACUUCGAGAAAACGGCUCCGACAGUGAGGGACGAAAGCCAGGGUCUCCAACCGGAUUAGAUACCCUAGUAGUCC
rnacentral:rRNA from 1 species